rnacentral:rRNA from 1 species
GAUGAACGCUGGCGGCGUGCCUAAUACAUGCAAGUCGAGCGAACGGACGAGAAGCUUUCUUCUCUGAUGUUAGCGGCUGACGGGUGAGUAACACGUGGAUAACCUACCUAUAAGACUGGGAUAACUUCGGGAAACCGUAUCUAAUACCGGAUAAUAUUUUGAACCGCAUGGUUCAAAAGUGAAAGACGGUCUUGCUGUCACUUAUAGAUGGUUCCGCGCUGCAUUAGCUAGUUGGUAAGGUAACGGCUUACCAAGGCAACGAUGCAUAGCCGACCUGAGAGGGUGAUCGGCCACACUGGAACUGAGACACGGUCCAGACUACUACGGGAGGCAGCAGUAGGGAAUAUUCCGCAAUGGGCGAAAGCCUGACGGAGCAACGCCGCGUGAGUGAUGAAGGUCUUCGGAUCGUAAAACUCUGUUAUUAGGGAAGAACAUAUGUGUAAGUAAAUGUGCACAUAUUGACGGUACCUAAUCAGAAAGCCACGGCUAACUACGUG